AACGAACGCUGGCGGCAGGCCUAACACAUGCAAGUCGAACGGAUGUAGCAAUACAUUAGUGGCGCACGGGUGCGUAACACGUGGGAAUGUACCCCAGGGUAAGGAAUAAUGUCUGGAAACGGACACUAAUACCUUAUAAUGACUUUGGUCCAAAGAUUUAUCGCCCUGGGAUCAGCCCGCGCCUGAUUAGCUAGUUGGUGAGGUAAUGGCUCACCAAGGCUACGAUCAGUAGCUGGUCUGAGAGGAUGAUCAGCCACACUGGAACUGAGACACGGUCCAGACUCCUACGGGAGGCAGCAGUGAGGAAUAUUGCACAAUGGAGGAAACUCUGAUGCAGCCAUGCCGCGUGAGUGAAGAAGGCCUUCGGGUUGUAAAGCUCUUUUAGUCGUGAAGAUAAUGACGGUAGCGACAGAAAAAGCCCCGGCUAAAUUCGUGCCAGCCGCCGCAGUAAAAC
rnacentral:rRNA from 1 species